CCUACGGGGGGCUGCAGUGGGGAAUAUUGGACAAUGGGGGGAACCCUGAUCCAGCCAUGCCGCGUGUGUGAAGAAGGCCCUCGGGUUGUAAAGCACUUUCAGUGAGGAAGAACGCCUGGUGGUUAAUACCCAUCAGGAAAGACAUCACUCACAGAAGAAGCACCGGCUAACUCCGUGCCAGCAGCCGCGGUAAUACGGAGGGUGCGAGCGUUAAUCGGAAUUACUGGGCGUAAAGCGCGCGUAGGUGGCUUGAUAAGCCGGUUGUGAAAGCCCCGGGCUCAACCUGGGAACGGCAUCCGGAACUGUCAAGCUAGAGUGCAGGAGAGGAAGGUAGAAUUCCCGGUGUAGCGGUGAAAUGCGUAGAGAUCGGGAGGAAUACCAGUGGCGAAGGCGGCCUUCUGGACUGACACUGACACUGAGGUGCGAAAGCGUGGGUAGCAAACAGGAUUAGAUACCCUAUAGUC
rnacentral:rRNA from 1 species